rnacentral:rRNA from 1 species
AUUGAACGCUAGCGGGAGGCUUAACACAUGCAAGUCGAACGAGUGGCGGACGGGUGAGUAAUAUAUGGGAAACUGCCCGGUGGAGGGGGAUAACUACUGGAAAGGGUGGCUAAUACCGCAUACCAUCGGAUGUGCCGAGAUGGGAUUAGCUAGUGGGUGGGGUAAAGGCUCACCAAGGCGACGAUCCGUAGCUGGUUUGAGAGGACGACCAGCCACACUGGGACUGGGACACGGUCCAGACUCCUACGGGAGGCAGCAGUGGGGAAUCUUGCACAAUGGGGGCAACCCUGAUGCAGCCAUGCCGCGUGUAUGAUGAAGGCCUUCGGGUUGUAAAGUACUUUCGGCAGGGAGGCGUUAUCUGCAGAAGAAGCACCGGCUAACUCCGUGCCAGCAGCCGCGGUAAUAC